AAUGAACGUUGGCGGCAUGGAUUAGGCAUGCAAGUCGAGCGAGAAGCCUUUUUUUGCUUGCAUUAAGGGUGGACAGCGGCGAAAGGGAGAGUAACGCGUAGAAAUGUACCCCAAGAUCCGGGAUAGCUGCGGGAAACUGCAGGUAAUACCGGAUAAUGUCUCCGGACCAAAGGUUUUUUCGUCUUGGGAGCAGUCUGCGUACUAUUAGCUUGUUGGUGGGGUAAUGGCCUACCAAGGCUCAGAUGGUUAGCGGGCGUGAGAGCGUGGCCCGUCUCACUGGGACUGAGACACUGCCCAGACGUCUACGGACGGCUGCAGUCGAGAAUCUUCCGCAAUGGACGAAAGUCUGACGGAGCGAUGCCGCGUGGUGGAUGAAGGCCCUCGGGUUGUAAACACCUGUCAGUAGGGAGGAAAUUUUGACCGAUCUACAGAGGAAGUCCGGGCUAAGUACGUG
rnacentral:rRNA from 1 species